UCAAACUUGGUCAUUUAGAGGAAGUAAAAGUCGUAACAAGGUAACCGUAGGUGAACCUGCGGUUGGAUCAUUACAAAUAUAUGCUCUUCCGUUCUGUUCGUUGAAGCGUUCGCGCCCUUUCGAGCAGGAUGACAAGACCAUCCACAUUGUGAACGCCUACUCCAAAAGUUUCUCUUCCUUUAUUUUCCUCUUGCGAAAGGGGAAAUAGAGGGAGAGGGAUGCACCACUGCUUUAAUUUUUUUUCUUCUGAUUCAUGUAAACGCGAUAUAAAAAGAGAAACAACUUUAGACAACGGAUCUCUUGGCUCUCGCAUCGAUGAAGAACGCAGC
rnacentral:misc_RNA from 1 species